rnacentral:rRNA from 1 species
GCGGAAGGAUCAUUCGCACGCAAAUUGCAUCCGCCACAUUGUGAGUUUUGGGCGUGGGGUUCUGCCUGUGUGUGUAAAGAACACUGUGCGGAAGCUCGAAGGCAGCGGGGCGGUGUGGGCGAUCCUCUUUCUUAAGGGGCGCCUCCGCACUGUUCUCGCUGUCACAUACCUUCCACCAUUCUUGGAAACCUGUCUUCCUGCUCGCAACUUCUGUUGACGAAAGCUUUACAACUUUCAGCGACGGAUAUCUCGGCUCAAACAACGAUGAAGGGCGCAGCGAAGUGUGAUAAGCAUUGUGAAUUGCAGAUUUCCGUGAGCCAAUAGAAACCUGAACGCAUCCUGCGCUUUCGGGAUAUUCCUGAAAGCAUGCCUGCUUCAGUGUCUACUUCUUUCUGCCAGCGAGGCGCUCGCCUAUGAGGCAAGCUCGUCGCUCGGCGUCGUGUGUGUUAGGAUUGGCGACUGUCUCUCUGAGGCAGCGUGCCGAGCUUGACGCAUGGAAGGUAUGUGUGAGCUUGCCCACUUCGCAAUGUAUUGAUUGCUUCUAUGCAGCUCUUUGCUUUGCGAGGAAGCGGCAAGGCUCACUUGCUUUCGCACCACCUAACCUCAAGACAUGAAGCCAGGUCAGCAAACCCGCUGAAUUUAAGCAUAUCAAU